CUCUGAACAAAAUUCAUAGAGUUCAGCAUGGCACACUGAAGGGUUUCCCCAGAGGAAGCCAAGAGCUCCCGCAGGGAUAAUCCACCGUAUUAGUUCUGGGGCUGCCUGUGAUCAGAAGAUCACGGAACCGUGGGUAGAACUGCUGUGGCCGAAGGUAGCCCUGUCCCCGCCGGCAGCAGCUGGCCCCUGGGGUUCGUGCUUUCCCGUGACGCCGCAGAUCUGGCAUUUUCUUCUAUGAAAUAAAAAAUAUUUUCUUCUAUGAAAGAAGAAAUAAUUCUGCUAGCAUUACCUGAAUUGCACUGAACACUGGAAAUCCUGCCAUCCCUUUGCAGUGGGAGGAAGACGACUGAUGGGUUUUGAGCUUGGCAACUUUUUUGAGAGGAUUAUACUACGUGAUUCUUUGUGCUGGAUAUUUCUGGGAGGCCCCGAUCUGACAUAGGAUUUUCACUUGUUAUUAACCAUAAGCUGUGAAACUUUGAGUGCUUGUAGUUGAGUAAAUGCUUAAAUGAUUUCCUGAUUGGAGGCCCAAAUAAUAUGGAAAGUCUUUGAGGUACCGUAGCUAAAAGGAGCACGACAAAUUCUUUUUCCUUCCCCCUAUAUAAGGCGUGAGCUUAUUCAAAGUUCUCUUUUAUAAUUUUCAGUAGUUGAUAUAUGAAUUUCAGGAGGUGAUGGAAAUUGAGAUUUAUUUGACUAUUUUUUUUGUUAAAUGAUACAUGCAUUCAUAGUGAAAAAGAGGAAUUAGAGUAUACUUGGAGGUAAUUACACAUCAGGAAGGUAAGAGAAAAGGUUUCACAUCUUUCCUUUCACUCUCAAAGCAAGUAAAGAAAAAGAAUUUGUUGCCAUUGAUUAAGGAGCAUAAGGAGUUAAAACAAUUAAUUUAAUGUAACAUUUUCAUUGCAGGAGCCUGAAUUCUGGUCACUGUUACCAUAUCACACAGCAUUCUGUUCUUCUCAUAGUCCUCUUGGUUCCAGCAGGAGCAAGGUCUAGGUCCAGCGAGCCGGUAAUUAGGCUGAGAAGGGCCAUGGAGCUCUUAAGGAGAUGCUCGAAGCUUUGCAGGAUGAAAGCCAGUUUGCAGAGAGAGGCUGCGCUGGUCCAGCUGCGUGGAGCUUGUUGCGGGGUUGCGACCCUCAUCACAGAAAGGAGCAGAGAAGAAAACAAGUGACACAGGUUCAUUAAAAAUUCUGCCCAGGGCACUGGCCCAGCUCUUUUCCCCUCUGUUAACAUUUUAGAUCUUUUUCUUAAGAAUGACGGUGUGUUUUGCUCUGUUCAGACAGAGAGGUUUGGUGAGCAGUUAAGGUAAAUAAGUAUGCAGGCGUGUCUUUUCGCUUCAGCUGUUAAUUGUUGCUUAGUCGUUAAGGUCCUGAUUUUGUAAGUUAACUUUACUUGAAAAAUGGAGCAUAUUUUAAUGUUAUCCUCUCUGUUGACCUUCCUCAGAUACUGUCUCAACUCUGUUGGUUUUUUUUCUGGUUCCAUUAUCAAAUAGAUAUUGAUUCUAUGCACAAAACCAUUUUCCAGAUAGCGCUGUUGAGCUCCCCGCUGCAGGUCUUUUUUUCCCUCCAAGGUGCAAAUAUUUCAUUUUUGGGUUAAGGUAAAUGUAAGCAAAUCUUAACUUUCUUGCUUUUUUCCUGAGAACAGCAAAAAUCAAAAUGGAUUUUUUUGGGGUGGAGGGGAAUGGGACGUUGGCAAAACUCCUUUUCCAUGCCACCAAAUGGAACAAGUCUUCAAACUCCCGAAUUCAACACCAAAUAUUUCAGCAGAAGAGGAAAUACGGCAGCUUGGCAUGCAAGCCCAGGCUCAGAACAGCUUCCACUACUCUUAGCUGUGGCUAAGUAAUUUCUUAAUUACUUCUUAACUGCUGUUAAGAGCACUGUAUUCCCCCUCCUUCAGAGGAACAAGGGAUCCUGUCUCCUCCUUUUCCUCUCCUCCCCAUCCCUGACCCUUUGGAAUUGAACUACGGAACAAGGAUGUAGGAAAACUUUGUGGGAUGUCUGUCCUGCAGUUUUGUUUAUUUUUUAAACAUACAAAGGGAGAAGUGGCACCAAGUUUAAAAAGCUUAGUUUGCUAGAAGACCGCUCUCAUUAGAGGAGCGUUGCUUUGAUUUAAAGUCAGCGAGCGUGGUAAAGGCACACUAUGCAUUCGAAUUAACCAUGGUAAAAUAGAAAGAAGUCACUUCUAGAGAGUAUUGCUGCAUUUUUCCUGUCUCCCAAAGUUUAUCCUCCUCCUGCCUUACAAAUUGGAUCAGAAACAGGGAGCUUCUGUGAUACUGAGAAACCCAGGAUCUGUGUCUGUAUGAUGCUGGGGUCUGACUUUACAGCAGCAAAGUGGGUCCCCAGCUUGAUAUUGGUAGCUCAAUUUUAGUGUCAUUUAGGCAGCUGAAGACAAACAAAUAGGCCAUCGAUCAGUCUAGCAACAGCCUGGGGCCUCUGUAUUUUAAUUACAUGUGGUGUUCGGACCAAAUUCAUCUCUGUUGAAAUAUCAUCAACUUAAAUGAAACUCCACAAUGGAGGAAUUUUUUCCUCUGUAUUAUUAAUACAUCUAAUGCUGUUGCAAAUAACUUUUUAUUUUUCUGUCUCUCCAACUUUUCUAAGUAAGCUCACUCAGUUUUUGAUGGCAGUUUCAAGUACUGAAGAGAGAUGAAGAUAACUUUUCCUGUUAGCUCUUAUUAUAGGAAGAAGCUUUAAGCAAUUGCUGAAACUUAUUCUUCCAGUACAGGUCACCCCUCUCCAGCACAACGCUGCAGCUCUGUAUUUAGCAAAAGCAAGCUGGGUGCUUUGCUUGAUUUACCAAAUGGAAACCGUGAUUAUCUGUAAUGUUGCUGCCAUGUGUUCUCACUGUGGGGAGUGGAGAAAUCCAGUGAAGUCCGCUG